rnacentral:lncRNA from 10 species
GGAAGCUUUAUAAACUCUCAUCUGAAUUACUACAAUUGCCUGCCAACUGUGUUCUUCUUUCCACCCUAGGUUCCUUAUCAUCUAUUCUCCAUUCAUAACACAGCCAUAGUGAUCCUUCUGAAGUAUCUCAGACAUCUCAACCCCCACCGCCCCAUGACCUCUCCAUCAUCACACUCCAAGUAAAAGCAUCUUGACAAUGGCCUACAAAGUGUACAUGAUCAGCCGGGUGUCGUGGCUCACGCCUGUAAUCCCAGCACUUUGGAAGGCUGAGGCAGGCAGGUCACUCGAGGUCAGGAGUUCGAGACCAGCCCAGCCAAUACGGUGAAACCCCAUCUCUACUAAAAAUACAAAAAUUAGCCGGGCCAUGGUGGCACAUUCCUGUAGUCCCAACUACUCAGGAGGCUGAGGCAGGAGAAUCAUUUGAACCUGGGAGGCAGAUUUUGCAAUGAGCAGAGAUCGGCCACUGCACUCCAGCCUGGGCGACGAGACUGUGUCUCAAAAAAAAAAAAAAAAAAAAACGAACAGUGUACAUGAUGGCAUGCCCUCUCACCUCACUGACUGGAUUGCCUCCCCAUCACUCUGCCCAGGAAAUGGGCCUUCUCACAGUUUCUCAAACAUACCAAGCACAUUCCCACCCCCAGAGCUUAAUCUAUCUCCCUCUACCCUGUCAUAAUAUUUAAGAACUUCACACCCGAUAUCAUUUAUUAAUUUAUUAUGCUUAUUUUCUGCCUCCUUCUGCUAGAAUAUAAGUUUCACGAGGUCAAGGAUUUUGUUUACUAAGGUAACCUCUUCAGUAGAACAGCAACGAGCACAUAGUAUGCACCCAAUACAAUGUUUGUUGAGUGAAUAAAUUUGCCAUCAAUUAUGUAAGGCAUUAUCAUUCUAUUUCCUAACCUAUGAGUUUUGAAAGAUUUCUAACAUGACCUUGAGCUUUUCAGUUCAUGCUGGCUGUUAAGUUGAUGUGAGUUGGUGGUCUUACUUGACCCAAGAAAAAUAGUGCAGUGGCUCACGCCUGUAAUCCCAGCACUUUGGGAGGCUAAGGUGGGUGGAUCACAAGAUCAGGAGUUCGGGA